rnacentral:rRNA from 1 species
UAGGGAAUCUUCGGCAAUGGACGAAAGUCUGACCGAGCAACGCCGCGUGAGUGAAGAAGGUUUUCGGAUCGUAAAACUCUGUUGGUAGAGAAGAACGUUGGUGAGAGUGGAAAGCUCAUCAAGUGACGGUAACUACCCAGAAAGGGACGGCUAACUACGUGCCAGCAGCCGCGGUAAUACGUAGGUCCCGAGCGUUGUCCGGAUUUAUUGGGCGUAAAGCGAGCGCAGGUGGUUUAUUAAGUCUGGUGUAAAAGGCAGUGGCUCAACCAUUGUAUGCAUUGGAAACUGGUAGACUUGAGUGCAGGAGAGGAGAGUGGAAUUCCAUGUGUAGCGGUGAAAUGCGUAGAUAUAUGGAGGAACACCGGUGGCGAAAGCGGCUCUCUGGCCUGUAACUGACACUGAGGCUCGAAAGCGUGGGGAGCAAACAGGAUUAGAUACCCUGGUAGUCCACGCCGUAAACGAUGAGUGCUAGAUGUAGGGAGCUAUAAGUUCUCUGUAUCGCAGCUAACGCAAAUAAGCACUCCGCCUGGGGAGUACGA